GAUGAACGCUGGCGGCGUGCCUAAUACAUGCAAGUCGAGCGAACAGAUGAGGAGCUUGCUCCUCUGACGUUAGCGGCGGACGGGUGAGUAACACGUGGAUAACCUACCUAUAAGACUGGGAUAACUUCGGGAAACCGGAGCUAAUACCGGAUAAUAUAUUGAAUCGCAUGGUUCAAUAGUGAAAGACGGUUUUGCUGUCACUUAUAGAUGGAUCCGCGCCGCAUUAGCUAGUUGGUAAGGUAACGGCUUACCAAGGCAACGAUGCGUAGCCGACCUGAGAGGGUGAUCGGCCACACUGGAACUGAGACACGGUCCAGACUCCUACGGGAGGCAGCAGUAGGGAUUCUUCCGCAAUGGGCGAAAGCCUGACGGAGCAACGCCGCGUGAGUGAUGAAGGUCUUCGGAUCGUAAAACUCUGUUAUUAGGGAAGAACAAAUGUGUAAGUAACUAUGCACGUCUUGACGGUACCUAAUCAGAAAGCCACGGCUAACUACGUG
rnacentral:rRNA from 1 species